GAUGAACGCUGGCGGCGUGCCUAAUACAUGCAAGUCGAGCGAACCACUUCGGUGGUGAGCGGCGAACGGGUGAGUAACACGUAGGUUAUCUGCCCAUCAGACGGGGACAACGAUUGGAAACGAUCGCUAAUACCGGAUAGGACGAAAGUUUAAAGGUGCUUCGGCACCACUGAUGGAUGAGCCUGCGGCGCAUUAGCUAGUUGGUAGGGUAAAGGCCUACCAAGGCGACGAUGCGUAGCCGCCCUGGGAGGGUGAACGGCCACACUGGGACUGAGACACGGCCCAGACUCCUACGGGAGGCAGCAGUAGGGAAUCUUCGGCAAUAGGCGAAAGCCUGACCGAGCAACGCCGCGUGAAUGAUGAAGGCCUUCGGGUUGUAAAAUUCUGUUAUAAGGGAAGAAUGGCUCUAGUAGGAAAUGGCUAGAGUGUGACGGUACCUUAUGAGAAAGCCACGGCUAACUACGUGCCAGCAGCCGCCGCAGUAA
rnacentral:rRNA from 1 species